rnacentral:lncRNA from 1 species
GCUACAGAAAACAGCCCAGCGUCCAGGAAGGGACCCAGGCGUCCGGGAAGGGACCCAGGCGUCCGGGGGGCCCAGGCGUCCGGGACAGGCAAACCCCAGUUUUUGGGUCCAAAACCCGGCCUCCGAGCCUGGGCCCAGGCGUCCGGGCUGGGCGGACCCCACUUUUUGAGGCUGAACCCUGGUGUCCGGCCAGACCCCAAUGUCCAAGAAGGAGCCCACGUGUCCGGGGGGCCCAGGCGUCCGGGGGGCCCAGGCGUCCGGGCUGGCCAAAACCUGCUUUGGGGGCUGAAUUGCUGCAUCCGAGGACAAACCCAGGCGUCCGGGGCGCAGAAAUCCCCAUUUUGGGGUCAAACCGCAGCGUCCGGGCAGGGGCCCAGGCGUCCGGGGCGCCCAAAAUUCAUUUUGGGGGUCAAACCGCACUGUCCAAGCAGGGGCCCAGGUGUCUGGGAUGCAAAAAUCUGCAUUUUGGGGUCAAACUACAGCAUCUGAACUGGGGCCCAGGCGUCCGGGGUUCAGAAAUUCCCAUUUUGGGGUUGAACCACAGUGUCCGAGCCGGGGCCCAGGCAUCCGGGAUGCAAAAAUACGCAUUUUGGGGUCAAACCGCAGCGUCCAGGCAGGGGCCUAGGUGUCUGGGAUGCAGAAAUCUGCAUUUUGGGGAGAAACCGCAGUGUCUGAACUGGGGCCCAGGCAUCCGGGGCACCCCAAACCCAUUUUGGGGGUCAAACUACAGUGUCCGAGCCGGGGCCCAGGCGUCCGGGGCGCCCAAAAUUCAUUUUGGGGGUCAAACCGCACUGUCCAAGCCGGGGCCCAGGCGUCCGGGGUGCAGAAAUCCCCAUUUUUGGGGUCAAAUCGCAGUGUCCGAGCUGGGGCCCAGGUGUCCGGGGUGCAGAAAUCCCCAUUUUGGGGCUGAACCGCAGCGUCCGAGCCGGGGCUCAGGCGUCCGGGGCGCAGAAACCCCCGUUUUGGGGCUGAACCGCAGCGUCCAAGCCGGGUCCCGGGCGCCCGGGGACGACGGCAGGGCCCGGCUCAGCGGAUGAGCACGUUGAUCUCGGCCACGCUGGCCUCCAGCACGUUCUCGGCCGUGGUCUUGCCGUGCUGCUCCUUGAGGUGGCGGCGGAUGGCGGGCUUGUGGGCGAAGCGCACGUCGCAGUAGGAGCAGCGGUAGGGCCGCUCGCCGCUGUGCAGGUUCAUGUGGUCGUGCAGCGUCGACUUCUGGGUGAAGCUCUUGCCGCAGACGCCGCAGCCGUGCGACUUGACGCCGCGGUGCACGUUCAUGUGCCGGUUGAGGUUG